rnacentral:rRNA from 1 species
GACGAACGCUGGCGGCGUGCUUAAUACAUGCAAGUCGAGCGAACAGACGAGGCGCUUGCUCCUUUGACGUUAGCGGCGGACGGGUGAGUAACACGUGUAUAACCUACCUAUCAGACUGGUAUAACUUCGGGAAACCGGAGAUAAUACCGGAUAAUAUCUUGAACCGCAUGGUUCAAUAGUGAAAGUCGGCUUUUCUGUCACGUAUCGCUGGAUACCGGCCGCUUUAGAUAGUUGGUAGGGAAACGGCUUACCAAGGCAACGAUGCGUAGCCGACGUGAGAGGGUGGUCGGCCGCCUGGGAGCGGAACCACGGUCCAGGCGCCUGCGGGAGGCAGCAGUAGGGAAUCUGCCGCAAUGGGCGAAAGCUUGACGGAGCGACGGCGCGUGAGUGAUGGAGGUCUUCGGUGCGUAAUACUCGGUUAUGAGGGAAAAACAAAUGUGGAAGGAACUGUGCACGUAGUGACGGUACCUGAUCAGAAAGCAACGGCUAACUACGUG